CGUAUGUGUCGUUUAAAUGAGGGCGCUUCCAAGAGGGCUCUUUAAAUGCUCAGUGGUGGAAGUGGGCGCCAUCGCAAAAUCAAACAUCUGGACGUGGAGUUAGUUUAGAAACAAAACCUUGGUCAGAUGGGUUGAUGGAAAGAAAAAGGAAAGGAUGUUGUGUCUAGGGGUGAAGGGAAGAAGCCAAGAAUAGAGGCCAAUAGUGAAGAGGGGAAUAACAAUUCAAAAAUGCAAUCAUUGAAAAAUUGCGUGAACCCUCUAGAAGGUGGUCAUUCAACUAUUUUGGGAGCAGAAGGAAGUCAAAAUUCACGUCGGGACGCAUAUGACAACCAUCAUCGUCGCAGCAUGGUGAACCUCAAACCUCGGUAAUUGAUUACAUGAAACGUCUAGAAGUUAAUUUCAUUCAUGUAGAGGAACAACAAGCUGCCAAUCAUAGCGGACAAACGAGUCUAAUAUAUAGCAUGCAUAGGUUCGGUUUGCACCAAUAUCAGAACCCAACCCUUUGCACAAGUCCAUAUGAAUUUGCUGCAACUGUGCAAUACCCUGGGGAUAGACCAAAUUUGGAUGGAGAAGGUCUUUGUCCACUUGCCCCCAUGAUGAAGGAGUCCAUGUUGAAGAAGGUUGUGGUGUCUGAAAAUAAGUUCGAUGAUAUAAUUGGAGGAGUUUGAUGUGUCUCUGUUGUUUCCUUUUCAUUUAACUAGACUUUGGUCUGCAUAUAUUUUGGUUAAAAGUCUUCAUAGUUUUAUUUUGAUUGAAGUUGUUAUUUUAGUUUUUUAUUUUGCAGUAUUAAUUGA